GUGGGGAAUAUUGGACAAUGGGCGCAAGCCUGAUCCAGCCAUGCCGCGUGUGUGAAGAAGGCCUUUUGGUUGUAAAGCACUUUAAGCGAGGAGGAGGCUCCUUUAGUUAAUACCUAAAGAGAGUGGACGUUACUCGCAGAAUAAGCACCGGCUAACUCUGUGCCAGCAGCCGCGGUAAUACAGAGGGUGCGAGCGUUAAUCGGAUUUACUGGGCGUAAAGCGUGCGUAGGCGGCUUUUUAAGUCGGAUGUGAAAUCCCUGAGCUUAACUUAGGAAUUGCAUUCGAUACUGGAAAGCUAGAGUAUGGGAGAGGAUGGUAGAAUUCCAGGUGUAGCGGUGAAAUGCGUAGAGAUCUGGAGGAAUACCGAUGGCGAAGGCAGCCAUCUGGCCUAAUACUGACGCUGAGGUACGAAAGCAUGGGGAGCAAACAGGAUUAGAAACCCGUGUAGUCC
rnacentral:rRNA from 1 species